rnacentral:lncRNA from 1 species
AAAGAUGGUCUGAAACAUUUUGAGUUAGGAAAACUCCAAUCACUGAGUCAACGACUGACCCCUUCCAUUUUGAGAAACGCCUAUCUCCUGCAAAGAAUCAUUGCAUUCAAAUAUGGAGGUGAGUCUUUUAUUUGAUUUUAUUUUUGCUUCAUUGUAGAAGUUGACCAAUUAUCAUUUACUUUGUGGGGUAAUUUUGAGGCACAUGAUACUGUAUCUAACUGAAAACUUUGGAACAUAUAUUCCAAUUAGAUUCCGCAUUAGAAACCUAAAUGGAUUUGUCACAUUUCAACACUAGAAUCUGCAAACAGUAAUUCCAGUUGGAGGACACUAUAUUUUUGCUUCAUUUAUCUCAUUGUAUGGACAAUCCAGUUUCCACUAGAGGCUUGCUAUUAGCUAAGUUAAUUUUACUGGAAAUGAAGUGCUCUUAAGUUUAGGAUAACUCAUUUUACCUUGUACGAGAUGCAUUCUUGCAAUGAAUGAGUCAGCUCGUCCACCAAAAACUCUCCUCUCUUCCUCCCACCAUUGUUUUUUCUCCUGAUCUGUUCCUUCAAGGCCUUCACCUCCUUCUUUCCACAUUAGCAGUUUCCAUACCCUUUCUGUCUCUGGGUCAAGGUCUACUUUAGGCCUUGGUUUGCGUUUCUUGAUAAUUUCAAACCCGUCAUAUGGAAUGAGUGCGCCAUCUCCUUUGUAGGGAACAAUUGCAGUUUGCUCUCCCUUCACUUCAUUGAGAUUGAGAUGCUCCAUUCGGUAUAUAAUUUCUUCAAUUGUAAUGGGUUUCUGCUUGGCUGGUUGCCCUGCUUCAAAUUUCAAGAAUUUUUUGUCCAAUAUGGUUAUAAUAUUCUAAAAUAUAUGGAGCCGCUUAAGAUAGUACAGUUUUGAUAAAGAUUUGCUAGCGUGCAAUAUACCUUUUCGUUUUGCAGUUGAUUUCUGAUCUUUCAAGAUGUUCUUUUGUGUUUGCAGCAUAUUCCCUUUUCUGGAUGGAACUGAUAGGGAUUGAGUCGAUGCCAUUGUCUGCUUUGUAGAUGCAUCAAUAUGACAUAUUUGGGGCUGCAGUUGGUCUCUAGAUUGAGGGGCCAUUUUGGG